rnacentral:lncRNA from 1 species
ACAGGUUUUUCUUCAUUAUCAGAAGAGUUGCUUCAUUUCAUCUGGGAGCAGAAAACAGCAGGCAGCUGUUAACAGAUAAGUUUAACUUGCAUCUGCAGUAUUGCAUGUUAGGAAUAAGUGCUUACCUUUGUGAAGAGCUGUGGAAGUCCUAGGUCCCUUACCUAAGGGAUUCCAGGAUUGUGAGGCAUCGUCCCAUCCAGCCUUUUAAAAUUAGACAGGACAGCGUUCCUGUGGGCUUUGAUGAUGGGACAGCACAUUUCAUUCAAGAGGCAAGUAAUUCCUUAAAGCCUCUUGAGAUUAGCAAAGAUAAUGUUUAUAAAACUAAGAACAUUUGUUUAGCCUUGAAUCUGACAGCCCUAUUUAAGGGAUAGUAUUGUACUGUUAAGAAUUCAGAUUUUGUUAAUCUUGCUAAAAUUCAAAUGUUACGUGUAUUGUGCAGAAAACCAUUAAAUCAUUCAAAAUAAAAUACUUUUAUUUUUAGAGAAUGUAUGCUUUUAGGAAGCUGUCUCCUUAUUUAAAUAAAACAUUGUUUGUCUGUAGUUAGUGUUGGGGCAAUCUGGGGGGGGUUUCUUCUCAUCUUUCAGAAACUUUGUCUGCGAACACUCUUUAAUGGACAAGAUCAGGAAAUUGAGCAGAAGAACGAAUUUAAUUUAAGAGGCUUCAUUUCAUCCUUCGUGAAGCUUUUCAGGAUUUUGGCUUUCAUGUAAACGCUUGGCUCUGCCUUCUGUUCUCCUAGGGAGUGUGUCAGACCUUGCAACUACACAGAAUGCAGUUGUCUUGACCUCAGGUCUGUGUGUUCUCUUGGCAAGUAAUACAGUACUGUUCUGAUCCGCUGCUAUUAGAAUGCAUUUUGAAACGACUGGAGUAUGAGUCAAAGUUGUGUUUCCCCCAAUGCUUGGAGUGGAGUAGUGAUUGUUAAAAGAAAAUCCAGCUGAGUGAUAAAAGGCUGAGUGUUGAGGAAAUUUCUGCAGCUUUUUAAGCAUUCAUGUUUGUGAUUGGAGCGGAGUCCCUUUUGCUGUGCUUUUUUUUAGGAACAUUCAAAACAACAGACGUAUGCGAAAGGCCAGAGAAGCCAGACCCAGUAAGGAAAAAUAGCUUACUUACUUUUAAAAUAAUAAACCAAAAAACACUGCAUUUUAAAUGUGGGGAUUGGGAACCACUAGUUCUUUCAGAUGGUAUUCUUCAGACUAUAGAAGGAGCUUCCAGUUGA